AUUGAACGCUGGCGGCAGGCCUAACCCAUGCAAGUCGAGCGAGCGGCGGACGGGUGAGUAAUGUCUGGGAAUCUGCCUGAUGGAGGGGGAUAACUACUGGAAACGGUAGCUAAUACCGCAUACCAUCAGAUGUGCCCAUAUGGGAUUAGCUAGUAGGUGGGGUAACGGCUCACCUAGGCGACGAUCCCUAGCUGGUCUGAGAGGAUGAACAGCCACACUGGAACUGAGACACGGUCCAGACUCCUACGGGAGGCAGCAGUGGGGAAUAUUGCACAAUGGGCGCAAGCCUGAUGCAGCCAUGACGCGUGUGUGAAGAAGGCCUUCGGGUUGUAAAGCACUUUCAGCGGGGAGGCGUUACCGGCAGAAGAAGCACCGGCUAACUCCGUGCCAGCAGCCGCGGGAAUAC
rnacentral:rRNA from 1 species